UACGUAGGAUGCAAGCGUUGUCCGGAUUUAUUGGGCGUAAAGAGUUCGUAGGUGGUUUGUUAAGUCUGAUGUUAAAGACCGGGGCUCAACCUCGGAAGUGCAUUGGAUACUGGCAGACUCGAGUAUGGUAGAGGCGAGUGGAAUUCCCAGUGUAGCGGUGAAAUGCGUAGAUAUUGGGAAGAACACCGGUGGCGCAAGCGACUCGCUGGGCCAUUACUGACACUGAGGAACGAAAGCUAGGGGAGCAAAUGGG
rnacentral:rRNA from 1 species